rnacentral:rRNA from 1 species
UACAGAGGUCUCGAGCGUUGUUCGGAUUCAUUGGGCGUAAAGGGCGCGUAGGCGGCGGGGUAAGUCUGGUGUGAAAUCUCGGAGCUCAACUCCGAAAUUGCACUGGAUACUGCUCUGCUAGAGGGCUGGAGAGGAGAUCGGAAUUCACGGUGUAGCAGUGAAAUGCGUAGAUAUCGUGAGGAAGGGGAGUGGGGAAGGCGGAUCUCUGGACAGCUCCUGACGGUGAGGCGCGAAGGCUAGGGGAGCAAACGGG